GACUCACAGAACUUGUCAUUCCUGACUUUUCCUAGCAUGGUGGAUAAGAUGGUGGUCAAAACAAAGGCUGUGAUCCUCCAGCUGGAGUUGAUUCAUUUCUGACUAUGAUAAGCUCAAGACCAACCUCCAAAAAACUAAAGAGGACCAGGCAGGCACCGAAGAUGCAUGGUUGAAGGAAUGAUAGCUGCAGUAUGAAACACUUUUACACUAAUCAUUGACUCAUUCCCAUGUUCCACUCAAUGAAAUCACAGAAUUUUACUUCAGCUCACAGAAGUAAUGGGAAAUGGAAAUCAACCUGCUGAAAAUUGAAAACUGCCCUCUCAGGACCAGUGGAUAUCAUGAGGAAGAAUGUCGGCUGGAGUCCGUGUAGAAGGUAAGAUCGACACCAGAGGCUGGUGAAGAAAUCUAAGAAGGCAGGAAGUGAGAAGACGUAUAAGAAGGUGCCAGGUGAGGCUGAGGAGGAGCACUCUGAGCCGCUGAUGAAUGAAGAAAAUGAGUGUGAUAGAAAGAGGCUGAAGGAAGAAACCCCUACUUGUCAAAAUGGGAGUAGGAUGACGUCUCAAAGAUACGAAUAGAACAGCAAAGAACA